AGAGUUUGAUCCUGGCUCAGGAUGAACGCUGGCGGCGUGCUUAACACAUGCAAGUCGAGCGGAAGCAUUUAGAAGCUUGCUUUUAAAUACUUUUGCGGCGGACGGGUGAGUAACGUGUGGGCAACCUGCCUCAUACAGAGGAAUAAUCAUGUGAAAACGUGACUAAUACCUCAUGUCAAUUUCUGAAGGCAUCUUCGGGAAAGAAAAGGAGCAAUCCGGUAUGAGAUGGGCCCGCAUCUGAUUAGCUAGUUGGUGAGAUAACAGCCCACCAAGGCAACGAUCAGUAGCCGACCUGAGAGGGUGAUCGGCCACAUUGGGACUGAGACACGGCCCAAACUCCUACGGGAGGCAGCAGUGGGGAAUAUUGCACAAUGGGGGAAACCCUGAUGCAGCAACGCCGCGUGAAGGAAGACGGUUUUCGGAUUGUAAACUUCUAUCGAUAGGGACGAAAAAAAUGACGGUACCUAAAUAAGAAGCCCCGGCUAACUACGUGCCAGCAGCCGCGGUAAUACGUAGGGGGCAAGCGUUAUCCGGAAUUACUGGGUGUAAAGGGUGAGUAGGCGGCAUGAUAAGUAAGAUGUGAAAGCCCGCAGCUUAACUGCGGGAUUGCAUUUUAAACUAUUGAGCUAGAGUACAGGAGAGGAAAGCGGAAUUCCCAGUGUAGCGGUGAAAUGCGUAGAUAUUGGGAAGAACACCAGUGGCGAAGGCGGCUUUCUGGACUGAAACUGACGCUGAGGCACGAAAGCGUGGGGAGCGAACAGGAUUAGAUACCCUGGUAGUCCACGCCGUAAACGAUGAGUGCUAGGUGUCGGAGGGGAACCUUCGGUGCCGCAGCAAACGCAAUAAGCACUCCACCUGGGGAGUACGAUCGCAAGAUUGAAACUCAAAGGAAUUGACGG
rnacentral:rRNA from 1 species